rnacentral:tRNA from 11 species
AGAAGAGCAUCUGUUUUACACGCAGAAUGUCGAGAGUUCGACUCUCUCAAA